rnacentral:lncRNA from 1 species
GUUAAUAGCCCCAGCAAGUACUGUCAUCCUAACCUAAGACAUUUCAAUGUCUCAGUGUCAGGAAUCAAAGGAGACUUUAAGCAAAGCAAAAACUGGAAAAAAAAAAAAAAAAAAAAGACCUUUGCGUUUCGGCGAGGCCUGCACUCGGUGCUGGAAGAGCGUGCCGUUUUGUUUUGGGGAGGGGCAGGGAGUAUAGGAAGAAAGAGAGACCCGUCCCAGCUGCCCAUCCUCAGCCCCUUCCCGCAGUCCUGCACCCAACCCUCCUUUGACGCCGGCCAGGACCAAGGCUCUACAGGGCGCCGGGCCUCCCUCCCGCCGCGUGCCUCGCACUCCCAGGACGCCUUCCUCGCGGGACGCCCCCCCCCAACGGAGCCGGACCUCCCUUCGAGAGCCCUGGAGCUUCGGCUCCCAGCGGGAGCCUCAAGUUGCCCCGCGAGAACCAGCCGCCUCCUCCCACCAGGAGGACGCCCUCAGUCCUGCUCCGAGUCAGCCCACCGGAGUUUCCCGGCAGGCCAGCCCUCGCGGGCCCGGUUCUCCGGCACUCACCGCCCGGCGGCUCUGAGCUCGCCCGCCUCGAGCCGGCCGGGCCCCGUGGGGGGCGGGGCGGANNNNNNNNNNNNNNNNNNNNNNNNNNNNNNNNNNNNNGGCUCCGCGGCGGACGCGAGCGCGGAAGCGCGAGGAAUCCCUGGAAUGAGGCGCCGCCCGCCCUCCGCGGGCUCCGCCGGGCUCCGCCUGGCCCGCCAGGACACGCCCCCCCGGACACGCCCCUCCCACGAGCAGGUGGGCGGCCAAGCCCAGAAAUGGCAUCAAUCUGAUCUACCUUGAAGUGGGGUGUCCGUGAGGGUCUGCGAGGGCCCAUGACAUCAGGCACGGUCCAGCGAGGAGAAAGGAUAGGCCAAGGGAGAGUGGGAACUACAGGAUAUCUAACACAGCUGCCAGCAGGUGAAGGUGGGGCGUCACCAAGACUGAUCAACGCAACACUUUGAAAGGCCCUCAGGAGUUCAGUCAAGUGAGAGUAGGUCCUUUGCUUUUCCAUUUGCUCCUUACAAUUUGUUAAGGCACUCCAAUGAUUCAGUAUUAUAAAAACAGGGUUGUUUGGGGU